rnacentral:rRNA from 1 species
AUUGAACGCUGGCGGCAGGCCUAACACAUGCAAGUCGAACGAGUGGCGGACGGGUGAGUAAUGUCGGGGAAACUGCCUGAUGGAGGGGGAUAACUACUGGAAACGGUAGCUAAUACCGCAUACCAUCGGAUGUGCCAAGAUGGGAUUAGCUAGUAGGUGGGGUAAAGGCUCACCUAGGCGACGAUCCAUAGCUGGUCUGAGAUGAUGCCCAGCCACCCUGGAACUGAGACACGGUCCAGACUCCUACGGUAGGCAGCAGUGGGGAAUAUUGCACAAUGGUCGCAAGCCUGAUGCCGCCAUGCCGCGUGUAUGAAGAAGUCCUUCGGGUUGUAAAGUACUUUCAUCGGGGAGGCGUUACCCGCAGAAGAAGCCCCGGCUAACUCCGUGCCAGCAGCCGCGGUAAUUC